UGGGAUUAGAUACCCCACUAUGCUUAGCCCUUAACAUAGACAAUAAAAACACAAUAUUGUCCGCCAGAGAACUACAAGUGAAAAACUAGAAACUCCAAGGACUUGGCGGUGCCCCACAUCAACCUAGAGGAGCCUGUCCUAUAAUCGAUAAUCCACGCUGCACCUUACCAUUUCUAGNCAACUCAGCCUAUAUACCGCCGUCGAAAGCCUACCUUAUGAAAGAAUCAAAGUAAGCAAAAUAGUCAACAACUAAAACGUCAGGUCAAGGUGUAGCACAUGAAAUGGAAGAGAUGGGCUACAUUUUCUACCUUAGAAAACACGAACAGCACAAUGAAACCUGCACUCAAAGGCGGAUUUAGCAGUAAGACAAAAAAGAAACUUUGCCUUAAACACGCUCUGGGGCGCGCACACACCGC
rnacentral:rRNA from 1 species